AUAUUUACCUGGUAGGGGCAACACCAUGAUCAAGAAGGUGGAUUGCCCAAAAUAAGGUCUAGCUAUUGCUCUCAAGCUGUGCUGUUCUUUGUGAAUUUCUCAAAUGCAGGAAUCUCAACUGCAUAAUUUCUGGUAGUGGAGGACUGUGUUUGCAUUCUUCUCUU